rnacentral:rRNA from 1 species
CAAGGCUUGACAUAUACAGGAAUAUGGCAGAGAUGUCAUAGCCGCAAGGUCUGUAUACAGGUGGUGCAUGGUUGUCGUCAGCUCGUGUCGUGAGAUGUUGGGUUAAGUCCCGCAACGAGCGCAACCCUCGUUCUGUGUUGCCAGCAUUUAGUUGGGGACUCACAGGAGACUGCCGGGGUUAACUCGGAGGAAGGUGGGGAUGACGUCAAAUCAUCAUGCCCCUUAUGUCUUGGGCUGCACGCAUGCUACAAUGGCUGGUACAAACGGCUGCGAUACCGCAAGGUGGAGCGAAUCCGAUAAAGCCAGUCUCAGUUCGGAUUGGGGUCUGCAACUCGACCCCAUGAAGUCGGAGUUGCUAGUAAUCGUAGAUCAGCAACGUACGG